GAAGAAGAACGUAGCGAAAUGCGAUAAGUAGUGUGAAUUGCAGAAUUCAGUGAAUCAUCGAAUCUUUGAACGCACAUUGCGCCCCUCGGUAUUCCGUGGGGCAUGCCUGUUCGAGCGUCAUUUAACCCCUCAAGCCUAGCUUGGUAUUGGGUGCUUGUCCCGCCUCUCGCGCGGCGACUCACCUCAAAGUCAUUGGCAGCCCGCAUCUCGCCGGCCGUGAGCGCAGCACAGACGCGCUCUUGGCAACGACGGAUCGGCUCUCCAAAAGCUUAUUUCAACCACUGACCUCGGAUCAGGUAGGGAUACCCGCUGAACUUAAGCAUAUCAAUAAGCGGAGGA
rnacentral:misc_RNA from 1 species